rnacentral:rRNA from 1 species
CACGUAGGGCGCAAGCGUUGUCCGGAAUUAUUGGGCUUAAAGAGCUCGUAGGCGGUCUGUUGCGUCUGCUGUGAAAACUCGGGGCUUAACCCCGAGCCUGCAGUGGAUACGGGCAGACUAGAGUGUGGUAGGGGAGACUGGAAUUCCUGGUGUAGCGGUGAAAUGCGCAGAUAUCAGGAGGAACACCGAUGGCGAAGGCAGGUCUCUGGGCCACUACUGACGCUGAGAAGCGAAAGCAUGGGGAGCGAACAGG